UACGUUACGAAACAUUAGAACUUUCACGCACUCACAUGUUGCGAGCAGAACCGAUGCGCAGAACGGGCUUCACCUCCACUUUAAAAGGACAGCUUGGUAUAUUAUCAGCUACUAUACGAGGUCCCGGACCAAGAAUAUUUCUGUUAGCGACAUCAAAAGUCUUGUUAUUAGUGAUGUGGAGGAUGGUAAUAAAGAUAAGGAGGCUAAAUUACAAACAGAAAUGGUUAAACGUGAUUCACAACUGGCAUCUAAACAAAAAGCUCUUAAAAUUAGUCUAAAGCAAUACGGAGAAGAUCAUCCCGACACAGCUAACAGUUAUUACAACAUUGGAAUCAUACAAAAUAUGAUGAAAUAUUUCAAGUCAGCAUUAGUUUCACAUCAAAAAGCUCUUCACAUCAGAUUGAAACUAUAUGGAGAAGAUCAUCCCGACACAGCUAACAGUUACAGCAGCAUUGGAUGCACACAAAAUGAGAUGAAAGAUUUCAAGUCAGC